GACUGUUGAUGCUUACAGCGCAUCCCUAGAGAGUCAGGUUUGAUUAGUCUGGUGUUGAUGGUGAUCAUAAAUGCCUUUACAAAGCUUUCCAGAUGAUUCUAAUGUGCUAACGCGCAAGCUAGGGUUGAGGUCUAUUGUUAAAAGCAGUUUGCUGUGUUUGAUGUAUGUGUAGAUGAUAAAUAAAUGUGGAGGUUAACCCUUAGAUACAAUACUAAACUUGUCAUUGUUUUCUAAACUGGGACAUUAUUUUUUUUUUAAAUAAAAGGAAGCCAUUAAUGAUUCAUGUGAUUCAAUAGCUGUAAACCAAGACUGUUUUGGGGAAACUCAGAUACAUGGGGGGAGGGUCUGAUUAACUUGAGUUUGGAACCACUUUGACCACGACAGUGUGGAAGACAUGGAAUGGAGGGAAGAUGGAAAUCAACGUGGUUGGUUAGGAAAGUGCCGUAAUCCUCUAGACGAGUGACAAGACGCCUGUCCUGGGCCCUGGGAUGAGAGGAAGGAAAGACAAUGAGAGUCGGUAGGGCCGUCAGUUGUCUGGUGUCCUGGCAAAAGCUGCACAGGGUUAAGGAGGCAGGGAAGACUGCAUUGUCUUAUUGUAGUCACCGCGAGAAAGCAGAUCUCUGAACUGAAGAUCCCUGAGCAAAGAGAAUUUUUAACAGCUGGGAUGGGAGGGUGCACAGAGGGCCUUUGUGUUUGUUAAUUUCCUUUGGCUUCUCCCAAAGGAAAAGUGGACUUUCUCUUAUAUUUAGGCGUUUUUUUUUUUUUUGGGGGGGGGGGCAUAGUUCCCUUGAUAUUUACAUUUCAAAGAAGUGGUUCCUAGGUCUUUCACAAGGACAUUCUGGGCUGUGAGAGUGGCAAGACUUUUAGAAAGAGUUACUUAUAUUUCAAAAAGGCAGAAAAAUGUUUUUUAAAGUAAAUCUUGUAAGAAAAUGUCCCUUCAAAGUUCUGAUGGGCUAAGAGGACUGGGAGGUGAGUAUCAGGGAAGGGGAGGAGUCAAAUCAUGGGUGGAUGUUGAUGCCAUUUAUUACCUCUGUAGAGACUGAAGUAGGCAGGCAUACAGGUUAAAAUCAUUAAGUUUGUGAACUGGAAGACCACGCCUUUGCCACGCCCCAUGUGACCUCAUGCCCCUACCUGAUGCCUUUGCCACGCCCCUGAGUGGCCUCAUUCCCCUACCUGGCCACACCGGGGUGCCCACCAGCCAAUCAGGUUAAUUAACCACUCCCCUUUGGAGUGGGUUAAAAGCCUAGGGCACAGUAUGCCCGCCCUGCUUUUCUUCCCUGGCCUCUUGCCAGGACAGGGUUUGCUGUAGCCCCACGCCUUCAGGGCGCAUGGCCUUUGGGCCAUGUGCUCUAGGCUUCCUGGCCUAGAUGCUCAUCUACAUGGCUGGUUCCUGGUGCUUGAGUUGGCAAAUAAGCAAGAAAAAGGUAACAACAAGUGGCAGAGUUGUCUCAUUAUCUGAAUUUUUGUGAGAUGUUGUAGCAGUUAACUGAAGGUGAGGAAUCUCCCAGACAGGUCACUUGAAGAAUGCUCUAUAAUUGCUGUGCUGUACUUCUGGAUCCAAAGACCUUGGCUGAGCCAUCGUAGGGACCUGGCAGGUAGAGCUACAGAGAGAGGAAGAGACAGAAAGAAAGGUCUCUCUAUUUACUCACUCCCCAAAUGACCACAUUGGCUGGAGCCAGGAGCUAGGAGUUUCUUUUGGGUCUUCCACAUUGUGUCUACAAGCACUUGGACCAUCUUCUGCUACUUUCCCAGGCUAUAGGCAGAUUGCUGCAUUGGAAGAGGAACAGCUGGGAGAUGAACUGGCACGCAUAUGGGAUGCACCCAUAUGGAUGAGUAACUUUUUUGAUAUAUUGUCUUUGUUUAAUUUAAAAAAUGUAUAUAUUUAAGGUAUACACAUGAGGUUUAUAUACACAUACAAACAUAGUUAAAUGACUAUUUUAUUAAGUAAAUUAACAUAGUCAUCUUUUUACUCAGUCCCAUUUUUGGUGGUAAGAGUGCCUGAAAUCUGUUCCCAUUGCAAAUUUCCAAUAUAUAAUACAGUAUUAUAAUACGUAGUCUUGUGCUACAUAUAAUUCUUUAAAUUUUGUUUGUCAUACACAACUGCAACCCUGUUCUGUCUUUUAAAAUCCAUGUGAGAAAUACAGAGACAACCUCAGGGUUGUAUACACACACACACACACACACAGAAAACCAGCUGCUGAUUCACAUAUCAAAUGCUCGCAUUGGCUAGGACUUGGCCAGGCCAAAACCAAGAUUCUGGAACUCAAUCCAGGACUCCCACAUGGAGCAGGGAGUCCAGCUACUUGAGUUCUCAUCUGUUGCCUCCCAGGGUCAGCAUUAGCAGGAGCUUAUGUCAGAGUUUUCCUUCUGUGUUUUUCUUCUAGGAAUUCAAGGCUUCAGGUCUUGAGUUUAGGUCUUUAAUCUAUUUUGAGUUGCUUUUGUGUAUAGUCCAAGGGUCCAACUGCAUUGAUUUUCAUGUGGAUAUUCAGUUUUCUCAACAUAGUUUCUUAAAAUACUAUCCUUUCUCUGUUGUAUCUUCUUGGUACCCUUGUUGAAACCUAAUUGACCUGUGGUUGGAUUUAUUUUUGGAUUCUUUAUUCUGCUAUAUUGGUCUACCUGUCUGUUUUUGUGCAAAUAGCAUGUUGUUUUGAUUAGGAUAGUUAUGAUCCAUUACAAGGCAAGCGUGCUCUCUUUCACUACUUCUACUUGACAUAGUACUGAAAGUAGUAGCAAGAGCAACCAGACAAGAAAAAAAGAUAAAAAACAUUCAUAAUGGAGAUAAAACUUCCUCGAUGCAGAUAACAUAGCUCUAUAUGUAUAAAGCAUUAAAAAUUCCACAAAAAGCUAUUGAAAUUAAUAAAUUUAGUGAAGUUGCAGGAUCCAAACCAACAUACAUAAGUUGGCCACAUUUCUUUACAUCAAUGACAAUCUACCAAAAAAGGAGUUCAGGCAAAUAAUCUGAUUUACAAUAGCAUCAAAAAGAAAAUAAUACCUAGAAUAAAUUUAGCCAAAGAGGGAAAAGGCUUACAUAGUAAAAACUUUGAACUGGGGAAAGAAAUUGAAAACAAAAAGAAAUGAAAGAUAUCAUGUGUUCAUGGAUUAGAAAAAUUAAUAUUGUUAAAGAGUCCAUAUUACCCAAAGAAACUCACAGAUUAAAUUUAAAGCCUAUCUAUAUAUCGAUCGUAUUUAUCACAGAAAUACAAUAAACUGUUCUAAAAUUCACACAACCCUCAAUAGCUAAUGGAAUCUUGAGAAUGAACAAAAUUGGAGAUAUCACACUUUGUAAUUUCAAAUUGUAUUAUACAGAUUAAAUAAUUACCUAAUAAUAACUUUGAAUGUAGUAAGGCUUAUAAUAGACUUUCCAUGUUAUUUCUUUCUUUCUUUUUUUUUUUCUUUUUGGACAGGCAGAGUUAGACAGUGAGAGAGAGAGACAGAGAGAAAGGUCUUCCUUCCAUUGGUUCACCCUCCAAAUGGCCACUACGGCUGGUGUACUGCACCAAUCCGAAGAUAGGAGCCAGGUGCUUCCUCCUGGUCUCCCAUGUGGGUGCAGGGCCCAAGCACUUGGGCCAUCCUCCACUGCACUCCUGGGCCACAGCAGAGAGCUGGACUGGAAGAGGAGCAACCAGGACAGAACUGGCGCCCCAACCGGGACUAGAACCCGGUGUGCUGGUGCCGCAGGCAGAGGAUUAGCCUAGUGAGGCGCGGCGCCAGCCUCCAUGUUAUUUCAAUGGUUAUAAACCUCAUACUGAACAACACCCCAAACUAGCUGUAGACAUUGCUGUAGAACCUUCAAACUGGGUCUACUUCCUUAGUGCACAGAAAGCUGAUCAGUGACAUCUGGGUGGUGGAAGAAAGUAGGUCUUCAUUGUCAAGCACAGAGCAAGGAGUCAAGCAGCUAUUGCUUAAUUUGAUUGGUCAGCGAUGCCAUGCUCUUUAGGGAAUUUAUGGUGGCCAGGUGGGCUCCAGUUGGUCUGGGAGUUAAAUGUAGGUGGCAACUACAUUCUGCCUGGAUCUGGAAUUCCCCUACCCAAAUCACCGCAGGAUAGCAUUGGCUAUUAAUGUUCUUAUUUAUUGGAGAAGCGAAUGACUCUGAGUUUGGUGAUUAAAACCUUGUAAGACCAGCUGGGCCACUCCCUUAAGUCAGUGAAUUCCUUUUGAUAAAAGGUUGCCAAGGACACCUUGGUCUAAGGGAGACAGACAAGAAGCUGGGUCCUGCUUUUACAUUAUAGGGGUUCAGUUUCACUACCUGAGCAUGAAAUCAGAUACUAUUUUUCACUCUCCAGCAAAAUUAACUGCUUCUUUGAUGCAAGCUAUGUGACACUUUGCAUCACUACCUAGUGAUACCACACUCAGAUUGCAGAGGACAAUGCUGUGAGAGCUGAAACUGGAAACAAAACAAAACAAAACGGACAACUCAAUCAAGAAGUGCAAGAUUCUAACCUUUGCUUCUACAGCAUCUGCAUUAAAUAACAAAAUGGCAAAGUAGUUCCUAUCCAGAGGAAUAUGCAUUAGGACAGCACCAUUAAUAGCGGAAGCUGGCUGCCCAGGGACAAGGAGACCCGUGAGAGAUGUGCCCAGGUGACAACCGGAUUCCUUAUCUCUGCCUGAUCUGGAAAUCCAUUUUGGUGAAGGGAAUGAGCUGGGAGAGCAGAGAAGGUGGAACUGCUGAGGGGAGCAGCUUCUUGUCUCAGUGAGAAGCCGACGGAGAGAACAGCUGCAGUUUCUGGAGAGGAGAAUCUUCCUAUUCUGGUUUAACUGUGGAAGCGCUCUGAUGCCCCAGCGGCCUGGACACAGACAGGAGGGGCACUGCAGGGCCGCCACCUACCCCAGGAGGCUUGCGGCCAGUGCAUACUGACAUUUUUCCCCUUCACUCACGAUAACCUGGAAGUCUAAGCCCUGACAUCCUUUGAAAACAGCUGCCCCUUGCCCAUCGUUGGCUUUGGUGUCUGCAUACUGGGAGAGCAUGGCUUGGCCAGGGAGAUGGACGGGAAGGGGGCUGCCCAGGUCCUGGGGUGAAGGGUUUUCGGGUGGACAGUUUCUGGGAAUUGAGGUGUGAUCCAGAGGGAAGGAGGCAGUUCGGGCUUGGUAAUUCCUUGAUCUAUUUGGACUUUUCUGUCUGUGGGGAGAGGUGCAUCCAGAGGCCAGCUUAGUGAAGUCUCUCCAAAGUGAAGACCCCAUUUUGGGGUCCACAUUCCAGGUCUAAGGGGAGUGUAUUUGAUACUAGACUGACAUAAUUUUUUUGUUGUUGUAAAUUUAAGGAAGCAAAUCCAACAAAGUUAACUGAAAAAGCCUCUAGUUGCCCACUGGGGGACAGUAUGACAACUCUAGGAAGCUGUUUAUAGGAAGAGAAAGGUGAGUGGAUGCUAACUCUCUAGUGGGUCUCCCUGCAUCUCAGAGUGGAGCCAUACUCUUUGUAGUUGUUACAAGGCUUUGCGUGGCUUGCCACCCUCUCUCCCCUAGCCUCCCUGACUUCAUCUAUCCCCCACCAUCAUUCCUUGUCAGUGCCUUGUGCUCCUUCCACACUGGCUGCUUUGCUGCCCUUCAGAGACACAAAGAUUUGCACUCCUUUUCUCUCUAUGUGCAGCCCUCUCUGAAAAUGACUGUGUGUGCUUUGUGCAAAUGCCACCCUCUCAGUCACCUACCCUGACCACUUAAAAUCGUCCCUGAUACCCCUGACUACCUUCCCCCUUUUAUCCCUCCAGUAUCCUACUACUGAUAUCCGUCAUGUUCUAAUAUCCUGAUAAUUUACUUAUGGAGUGUGUGUGUGUGUGUGUGUGUGGGCUUGCCCCAGUCUGUCUGUGCCCUUGAGAGUGUAAGCACCAAAAAGGCAGAGUCUGGCGCUCAGGAGAGUGUUUGUCACAUACGAGGUACUCAACAAAUCUUUGCCAAAUGAAUCAAGUAUCUUUAGAUAGCAGCAAAAAAUUAUAGGAAUUAAAAAUGUAUUUGAGGGGCAUGGAGACAGAUACACACACAGAGCGAGAGAGCGAGAGAGAGCGACAGAGAGAGAGGGAGAGAUCUCCCAUCUGCAGGUUCAUUUCUCAAUUGCACACAAUGAUCAGGGCUGGCAGCCAGGAACUCAGUCCAGGUCUCUCAUGGAGGUAGCAGGGACCCAGCUACUAGAGCCAUCAUGACUACCUCCCAGGGUAUACAUUAGAAAACAAAAACAAAAAUUAGGAGCACAGCCAGCACGCAAAUAACAAAUAAUCCUGUAUGAGAUUCAGGUAUCUUGACUGCUAGGGCAAAUGCUCACCCAGAAAUUCUUUAAAGAAAAUCACAAGAGUUUCUUAAAAUAUAUGGAAAUUAUAAUUUCUUAAAUUCUUGCCACAUGCAGAGCGCUAAUAUCUAGAUAUUUAAGUACUGGAUUUUGUUUCUCAUCAUUUUUCUUGUGGCUUCAUGCUGUCAUGUCUCUGAGCAUCCAGACUCAAAUCAGAGCAGAGGACUGAAGAACUCAGAAGAGGUUCUUGAAACCAAUGCUACAAUCAUCUGAGAAGCUAGAUACAUGAAACUUUGAUCCUGCACAUUCUGUAUAUUUUCUCUCUAUUCCUUUUCCCUUUCCUCUGCUUUCCACUUUCCUCUCCUCCUUCAAAGUUCAGAGCAAAGCCCAUGCUAAGACUGCAGGACUCAGAGCUAAGGUUUGUUUGUAGGAGCUGACAGUUUGGUGAGAUUUCUAAAGGAAGACAUCAUUUUAGCAUUGUGUGGAAAGUGCUUCUGUGGAAAUUUGCCUGAACACUAAAGGAACAAAGCUCUUGAUUUCAUGACGAGAGUGUCACCAUGAUGGCUUGCUGGAGGUAUAUGGGUAGAAUCCUAUACUUUGGAGACUUGGAAGAAUAUGUGAGAAUGUUUAGUAAUUCUUACAUGAGUGGCUGGCAUUGUGGUCCAGUGGGGUAAGCUACCGCUUGAGAUGCUGGUAUCUUAUAUUGGAGUGCUGGUUUGAGUCCUGGAUACUCUGUUUCUAAUCUAGUCUACUGGUAAUGCACCUGUGAAAGUAGUGGUUGAUGGCCCAAGUAACUGGAUCCCUGCCUCCCAUGUGGGAGACCCGGAGUUUCUGGCUCCUGACUUCAGCCUGACUCAGCUCUGACUAUUGUAGCCAUUUGGAGAGUGAACCAAUGGAUGGAAGAUCUCUCUCUCUCUUCGUCUCUAAAUCUCUUGUUCUCUGUC